rnacentral:misc_RNA from 1 species
GAAUCCAAUGCACGGUCGCGUUGCCUCCCUCGAGGGGCUCCGUCGCCGUGCGUCUUGGGCCUGUCUGUCGUCGACCCGCCAGUCGGAGCGACGUGGCCUCGAAUCGAUGGUUCCUUUGAAGAACGGACGAGAUCCUGUGGGACAAACGGGCCGUUUGGAAGGACUGAUACGUGGGGAGCGGCGUCUCGUCGCCCCCCUGAAU